AGGGCACCACCAGGAGUGGAGCCUGCGGCUUAAUUUGACUCAACACGGGAAAUCUCACCAGGCCCGGACACCGGAAGGAUUGACAGAUUGAGAGCUCUUUCUUGAUUCGGUGGGUGGUGGUGCAUGGCCGUCCUUAGUUGGUGGAGCGAUUUGUCUGGUUAAUUCCGGUAACGAACGAGACUCUGGCCUACUAACUAGACGUUGGAUCCCUUUGUGGGUCCAUCGCAGCUUCUUAGAGGGACGGGCGGCGUUUAGCCGCACGAGAUUGAGCAAUAACAGGUCUGUGAUGCCCUUAGAUGUUCUGGGCUGCACGCGCGCUACACUGAAGGAAUCAGCGUGUGUUCCCUAUCCGAAAGGAUUGGGAAACCCGUUGAACCUCCUUCGUGAUGGGGAUUGGGGAUUGCAAUUAUUCCCCAUGAACGAGGAAUUCCCAGUAGGCGCGAGUCAUAAGCUUGCGUCGAUUACGUCCCUGCCCUUUGUACACACCGCCCGUCGCUACUACCGAUCGAGUGAUUUAGU
rnacentral:rRNA from 1 species